AGAAAGAGGGGAAGCCACUGACCAUACCAUUGCCUGAAGGAAUAAUGUGUGUGUUUCUUCCUUUGCCUCACUGCUGCCUUUGGGCCAUAAAAGCCAAGUGGAAAACACAGUACUGGCUACAUCCAGAUGGUUUUCCAGGAGAACAAGCAUGGAUAUGGAUCAGGGAUCCACCAGACCUGCAACAGGUACAGACCCACAGUGUGUCACAUCAUGCCUUCAAUCAGAUCCUGCUGUGAGUGGUUGCAGUGAGCUUCCAUUGACCUUGCCUCCCACCCAACUUUUUGGCUCGCCACCAAGUUAAGACUGCCUGAAACUCAGCACCUGGCAGAGAAGCUUUGCAAAAGAGCUGUUUUAGCCUUCAGGAGUUUUAAUACUUAGAUUAAAUUCUCACUGUAGUAGGCUUUGAUUUUGCUGACCACACUUUAGUGAAGUCCCUGCUUCUGUGAGUGAUUAAUAUUUAGCCCAGAUGGGAGAGGUUUGUCUUCAGAGGAAUUUGACCAAGAAGCAGAAGAUGAAGCAAACUUGGCAAAUAGUCCUAUCCACUGUCAUGUUAUCAGGGUUGCUCUGGGGAAGGUAGAGAAAAUGACUUUGGGUUUUGCAGGAAAUGAAUGGUAGAACCCAUCACAGCCCAGCCCUGACUUCUAUUGCCACAAGAGUGCAGCUUUUUUCAUCAUCUCCUGUAAUAAAUUGCCUAAUUUAGUCUGGCUCCAGAAAAUAAAUACUGAUGACACAUCUCUUUUACAAGGCAAAGUAAAGUUCUUUUAAAUUUCUCUCUCAUACAUUCUUUAUUUUCAGAAAUUUGGUUUGUGUUUGUUGUUUCUGAAUUUAGCAUAGAGUUCAAAAACAGUCUCAGUCCUCAUGUUUUUUCCUGUUUUCCAUAGAUCUGUUUGGCAAGCAGUCCUAAAAUUGCCAGAUCUGGUAGUAGAUACAGGUGUAGCUCUCUGCUCCCUGCUAUUCUGUGAAGACUUUAGUUUUCUGCUUGGAAACAAUCAUGCUAACAGCCAGAUCCAAGCAAUUGAGGAUGAAAAUAGCUUAAGUCUGCCUUCCUGCUAGACCAGAACUGUUAUCUCUCAUUCACUCACUAUGGCUUUGUCCAGCUUAAUUUUAAAUAUACCAAGGCGUAGAGCUUCUGUUACAUUACUUUUGAGAGACAAUUUUGUAUACCUCACCGCCAGGAAGUCCUUCCUCAAACUCCACAUUUUCCCUGCCUAUCUUUACCCCUGAAUGCUAAUUUAAUCCUGGUGUAUUUUGGUGAUUGUGUCCUUGCUCUUCAUAAUAUAUAAAACAUCUCAGGUCUUUCUUGUCAUCACUUGCCUGUGCUACCAGCAUUAACCGCUUGAGCCUUAUUCUUCUGUUUGUAAGAGAUUCAAUUUUUGCCAACAGCUUUGGAGACAGCACCACAAAUCUUCAAACUUGCCUCAUAGGCAGAGUGGUAGAAAUUAUUCUUCGAACCACUCCAGUAAAAAAAAAAAAAAUUCUCUGUGCUGACAUUUUUCUCCUUUUCUUUCUUUGGAGAAAUAACACAUGUAAUCAAUGUUAGUUUUGAUGAGAAAUUGCAAAAUAAAGCUGCUUUGUUUUUAGCAGUUCACCUUG